rnacentral:rRNA from 1 species
UACGUAGGGCGCAAGCGUUGUCCGGAAUUAUUGGGCGUAAAGAGCUCGUAGGCGGCUUGUCACGUCGGAUGUGAAAGCCCGGGGCUUAACCCCGGGUCUGCAUUCGAUACGGGCUAGCUAGAGUGUGGUAGGGGAGAUCGGAAUUCCUGGGUGUAGCGGUGAAAUGCGCAGAUAUCAGGAGGAACACCGGUGGCGAAGGCGGAUCUCUGGGCCGUAACUGACGCUGAGGAGCGAAAGCAUGGGGAGCGAACAGG